rnacentral:rRNA from 1 species
CUCCUACGGGAGGCAGCAGUGGGGAAUCUUGCGCAAUGGGGGAAACCCUGACGCAGCGACGCCGCGUGGGUGAUGAAGGCUUUCGGGUCGUAAAGCCCUGUCGGAGGGGAAGAAACGUACCGACCUAAUACGUCGGCUACUUGACGGUACCCUCUAAGGAAGCACCGGCUAACUCCGUGCCAGCAGCCGCGGUAAUACGGAGGGUGCAAGCGUUGUUCGGAAUCACUGGGCGUAAAGGGCGUGUAGGCGGCCGGGUAAGUUGGACGUGAAAGCUCCUGGCUCAACUAGGAGAGGUCGCUCAAAACUGCCUGGCUAGAGGGCGACAGAGGGAGGUGGAAUUCCCGGUGUAGUGGUGAAAUGCGUAGAUAUCGGGAGGAACACCAGUGGCGAAGGCGGCCUCCUGGGUCGCCCCUGACGCUCAGACGCGAAAGCUAGGGGAGCGAACGGGAUUAGAUACCCCGGUAGUCCUAGCUGUAAACGAUGUGGACUUGGCGUUGGUGGGGUCAAAUCCAUCAGUGCCGGAGCUAACGCGAUAAGUCCACCGCCUGGGGACUACGGUCGCAAGAUUAAAACUCAAAGGAAUUGACGG